rnacentral:lncRNA from 1 species
AUAUUUUUUCCGACUAAAAAAGGUUUGUCUGUGUCAACAAUUAUUUUAAUAAUUAUCUCAAAUCAAUAUCAAUUUGUGAAUCAUAUUUAUCUACAAAUUUAAAUUUUUAAAUUGUAAAUUUAUAUGUUAUAUUUUAUUGAAAAAAUAUCUCAUAUUUCAAAUAUUAAUAGGUAAAAUUGAGAUAAUUUUUAUAUAUUCACCUUUUAAAAUAUAUGAUUAAAUAUUAUAUAUGCGGAAGGUAUUAUGUGAUUGGAUAUUAUAUUGGUGGUGGAUAUUAUGUGUGAGAAAUAAAAUAUUUAGAAAUGUGAAUAUUAUUUGUUAUAAAAUAUGAUAUUAUGUGGGCGGCGGUUAUUAGAAGAUAUGACAUGCAUAUAAAAAGUGAAAUUUGAUAGGUACUAUUUGAGGGCAAUGUAAAAAAAGUGACAGAUGCUUAAUUCGUCAGUCAUUGGAUUAGAUCUAAUGACUAAGAAUUAAUAUAUUUUAUGAUAAUUUAAAAAUAAAAUAAAAAUUGUAUGACUUUGAUUUAUUCCAUUAAAGUUGAAUGAAUGAUAUUAUUAAUAUGUGAUUGAAAUUAUAUUAAUAGGGACCGGCAUUUUGGGAAAGAGGAAAAAAUUCAAAACUCACGCUUUUAUAAGUAGUAUAUAUAUAUAUAUAUAUAUCGUAUUUAACUUCAGAUCAGGUUCAGGUCUGGAUACUUAAGUUAAUAAUAUACCUAUUAGAUUUGUUUGAGCGAGUCUGGGUAGUGAGUAUCCGUAUACUACCCGCUUAAUACCGGGUACGGAUUAGGUCUAAAUUGGGUACAUGUACUGGUAUGCAUAUACUUUUUAUAGAUUUUAUUAAAUAGUUUAUGAAAAACCAUAAACAUCUCACUAUA